UCUCUCUCUCUCUCUCUCUCCUACAUUUGUUUAAGAUGUUAUUAGAUAGAAACUGAUUCUUUGAAUCAUAUUUAGUGUUUUCUUGGUGAGAAUUGUGAUUUGUAUUAUGCUUGUCUUCCUUUAAAGUUGAUUAAGAAAUUAAUUUGCUGUGAACAAAAUUUAUUAUAUGGAUUUCACCAUCUGAAUAUGGUUAUUUCUUAAAAAAAAAAAAAUUCCAAAUGCGGUUGUGAUGGGGAGCUCAGUAUCUGAAGUUAAUAACACUCUGUAGACCUAGUUUUGUUUUUCCUUGUUUGAUUUUGUAAUUGGUGUUUUGAUGAUUUUGGUUUAGUUGAUCGGCUUUCUAGGAACUAAAAUUAUGACUAAUUGGGUUUUUCAGCAGUAGCAGUUCUCCAUUUUUAGUGUAUGGAUGAAUUUGGUUUUGUCUGAUUUGAUUUGGACUCUAUAUUGUUCGGCACAGGUGAUCAUUGGUGGUGGUGGUGGAGGAGCUUUCUUUG
rnacentral:misc_RNA from 1 species